rnacentral:rRNA from 1 species
UACGAGGGGGGCAAGCGUUGUUCGGAAUUAUUGGGCGUAAAGGGUGCGUAGGCGGUUUGACAAGUCUGAUGUGAAAUCUAUGGGCUCAACCCAUAGUCUGCAUCGGAAACUGUCGGGCUUGAGUGUGGGAGAGGUGAGUGGAAUUUCCGGUGUAGCGGUGAAAUGCGUAGAUAUCGGAAGGAACACCUGUGGCGAAAGCGGCUCACUGGACCAUAACUGACGCUGAGACGACGAAAGCGAUGGGUAGCAAACGA